UACGUAGGGUGCGAGCGUUGUCCGGAAUUACUGGGCGUAAAGAGCUCGUAGGCGGUCUGUCGCGUCGGAUGUGAAAACUCGGGGCUCAACCCCGAGCCUGCAUUCGAUACGGGCAGACUAGAGUUCGGUAGGGGAGACUGGAAUUCCUGGUGUAGCGGUGAAAUGCGCAGAUAUCAGGAGGAACACCGGUGGCGAAGGCGGGUCUCUGGGCCGAUACUGACGCUGAGGAGCGAAAGCGUGGGGAGCGAACAGG
rnacentral:rRNA from 1 species